UACGUAGGGUGCAAGCGUUAAUCGGAAUUACUGGGCGUAAAGCGUGCGCAGGCGGUUGUGUAAGACAGGUGUGAAAUCCCGGGGCUCAACCUCGGAACUGCAUUUGUGACUGCAUCGCUGGAGUGCGGCAGAGGGGGAUGGAAUUCCGCGUGUAGCAGUGAAAUGCGUAGAUAUGCGGAGGAACACCGAUGGCGAAGGCAAUCCCCUGGGCCUGCACUGACGCUCAUGCACGAAAGCGUGGGGAGCAAACAGG
rnacentral:rRNA from 1 species